GACGAACGCUGGCGGCAUGCCUAACACAUGCAAGUCGAACGAGACCUUCGGGUCUAGUGGCGCACGGGCGCGUAACGCGUGGGAACCUGCCCUUAGGUUCGGAUUAACUCCCCGAAAGGGGUGCUAAUACCGGAUAAUGUCUUCGGACCAAAGAUUUAUCGCCUUUGGAUGGGCCCGCGUUGGAUUAGCUAGUUGGUAGGGUAAAAGCCUACCAAGGCGACGAUCCAUAGCUGGUCUGAGAGGAUGAUCAGCCACACUGGGACUGAGACACGGCCCAGACUCCUACGGGAGGCAGCAGGGGGGAAUAUUGGACAAUGGGCGAAAGCCUGAUCCAGCAAUGCCGCGUGAGUGAUGAAGGCCUUAGGGUUGUAAAGCUCUUUUACCCGGGAUGAUAAUGACAGUACCGGGAGAAUAAGCUCCGGCUAACUCCGU
rnacentral:rRNA from 1 species